rnacentral:rRNA from 1 species
CCUACGGGAGGCAGCAGUGAGGAAUAUUGGUCAAUGGGCGCGAGCCUGAACCAGCCAAGUCGCGUGAGGGCAGACGGUCCUAUGGAUUGUAAACCUCUUUUGUCGGGGAGCAAAAGACGCCACGCGUGGCGUUCCGAGAGUACCCGACGAAAAAGCAUCGGCUAACUCCGUGCCAGCAGCCGCGGUAAUACGGAGGAUGCGAGCGUUACACGGAUUGAUUGGGUUGAAAGGGUGCGCAGGCGGAAGAUCAAGUCAGCGGGAAAAUUGAGAGGCUCAACCUCUUCGAGCCGUUGAAACUGGUUUUCUUGAGUGAGCGAGAAGUAUGCGGAAUGCGUGGUGUAGCGGUGAAAUGCAUAGAUAUCACGCAGAACUACGAUUGCGAAGGCAGCAUACCGGCGCUCAACUGACGCUCAUGCACGAAAGUGUGGGUAUCGAACAGGAUUAGAUACCCGGGUAGUC